AGUGAACGCUGGCGGUAGACCUAACACAUGCAAGUCGAACGGCAGCACAGUAAGAGCUUGCUCUUACGGGUGGCGAGUGGCGGACGGGUGAGGAAUACAUCGGAAUCUACUUUUUCGUGGGGGAUAACGUAGGGAAACUUACGCUAAUACCGCAUACGACCUACGGGUGAAAGCAGGGGAUCUUCGGACCUUGCGCGAUUGAAUGAGCCGAUGUCGGAUUAGCUAGUUGGCGGGGUAAAGGCCCACCAAGGCGACGAUCCGUAGCUGGUCUGAGAGGAUGAUCAGUCACACUGGAACUGAGACACGGUCCAGACUCCUACGGGAGGCAGCAGUGGGGAAUAUUGGACAAUGGGCGCAAGCCUGAUCCAGCCAUACCGCGUGGGUGAAGAAGGCCUUCGGGUUGUAAAGCCCUUUUGUUGGGAAAGAAAAGCAGCAGGUUAAUACCCCGCUGUUCUGACGGUACCCAAAGAAUAAGCACCGGCUAACUUCGUG
rnacentral:rRNA from 1 species